rnacentral:rRNA from 1 species
AGCAGCCGCGGUAAUUCCAGCUCCAAUAGCGUAUAUUAAAGUUGCUGCAGUUAAAAAGCUCGUAGUUGAAUUUCGGGACUAAUAUGUCGGUCGUGCCUCGGUACGUACUGGUUUAUUGGUUUCUCCUUUCUGAAGAACCAUGAUGUCAUUUAUUUGGUGUCGUGGGGAAUCAGGACUGUUACUUUGAAAAAUUAGAGUGUUUAAAGCAGGCUCACGCUUGAAUACAUUAGCAUGGAAUAAUGAAAUAGGACGUUUGAUUCUAUUUUGUUGGUUUCUAGGAUCGACGUAAUGAUUAAUAGGGAUAGUUGGGGGCAUUAGUAUUCAAUUGUCAGAGGUGAAAUUCUUGGAUUUAUUGAAGACUAACUACUGCGAAAGCAUUUGCCAAGGAUGUUUUCAUUAAUCAAGAACGAAAGUUAGGGGAUCGAAGACGAUCAGAUACCGUCGUAGUCUUAACCAUAAACUAUGCCGA